rfam:Triticum aestivum genome assembly, contig: Triticum_aestivum_CS42_TGACv1_scaffold_030870_1BL
UAGCUACUCCCUCCGUUCCAAAAUACAUGCCUUUCAUUUGUUAAAAUGUACAGUAGAUGUAUGUAGACAUGUUUUAGUAUAUAGGUACAUCCAUUUUUGGACAAAUGGAAGACAAUUAUUUUGAAACGGAGGGAGUAGUAU